rnacentral:sRNA from 1 species
UGGCAGCCUCCUCCACCUUCAGGAACCCUUUGCCUGGCUCUGGACACAUGCUUCUCAAAUUUAUCCAUGCUGCUCCCAGAGGCUGGGCUGCCACCCAGGGGGUGAUGGACAGAGCUCUAGACCUCACCUGAAGUCCUGGACCCCACUGAGCUGGGCCUUCCCCUGGGCCUUGGCUCCUUGGAAGCCUCUGCAUACCCAUCCAAAGCGGCUUCAGGGUUUCUGACUGGGGCUGGCACCCGCUGGCAGGAGCUGACUUCGGUACCUGUCCCCCAGGCCCCCACUGGCCGUCACAUCCCGGGUGAUGACAGUGACUGUGCGCCCCCCUACCCAGCCUCCAGCUGAGCCCCUCAUCACUGUGGAGCUCUCCUACAUCAUCAAUGGGACCACGGAUCCCCAUUGUGCCAGCUGGGACUACUCCAGAGCAGAUGCCAGCUCAGGAGACUGGGACACUGAAAAUUGCCAGACCCUGGAGACCCAGGCAGCUCACACUCGCUGCCAGUGCCAGCACCUGUCCACCUUUGCCGUCCUGGCUCAGCCGCCCAAGGACCUG